rnacentral:rRNA from 1 species
UACGUAGGUGGCAAGCGUUGUCCGGAUUUAUUGGGGUUUAAAGGGUGCGUAGGCGGCUUUGUAAGUCAGUGGUGAAAUAUGGCAGCUCAACUGUCAAGGUGCCAUUGAUACUGCGGAGCUUGAGUACAGAUGAGGUAGGCGGAAUUGACGGUGUAGCGGUGAAAUGCUUAGAUAUCGUCAAGAACACCUAUAGCGAAGGCAGCUUACUAGGCUGUAACUGACGCUGAGGCACGAAAAGUGUGGGGGAUCAAAACAGG